rnacentral:rRNA from 1 species
AGCGAACGCUGGCGGCAGGCCUAACACAUGCAAGUCGAGCGCCCCGCAAGGGGAGCGGCAGACGGGAGAGUAACACGUGGGAACGUGCCCUUUGGUUCGGAACAACCCAGGGAAACUUGGGCUAAUACCGGAUAAGCCCUUACGGGGAAAGAUUCAUCGCCGAAGGAUCGGCCCGCGUCUGAUUAGCUCGUUGGUGGGGUAACGGCCCACCAAGGCGACGGUCAGUAGCUGGUCUGAGAGGAUGAUCAGCCUCACUGGGACUGAGACACGGCCGAGACUCCUACGGGAGGGAGCAGUGGGGAAUAUUGGACAAUGGGCGCAAGCCUGAUCCAGCCAUGCCGCGUGGGUGAUGAAGGCCCUAGGGUUGUAAAGCCCUUUCGGCGGGGAAGAUAAUGACGGUACCCGCAGAAGAAGCCCCGGCUAACUUCGUGCCAGCAGCCGCCGUAA